rnacentral:lncRNA from 1 species
GUUGUUAGCUGAUAUCCAUGGCAGCUGCAGUGGCAGCGGCAGGGGCCGUGUGUGUGAGUGUGUGCACUAGUUGUACUGGACUGGCAGGAGGGGAGGGGGCAGGGGGGCGGGAGCAGGCUGGAGGGGGAGCAGGGCCGCGCGCGCGCGCGCCGGGUGGGGAGCCGCUCCGCCGCCGUCUCUCUCGCUGGCUCGCUCCCUCCCUCCCUCCGCAGCUUGACCCGGUAGUGAAGGCGGGGAGAGAGGCAGGCUGGGUCCGCCUGGCGGCCUCCGCGAGGAGGCGGGAGCGGAGAGGAGGGCCCCGAGGCCCGCGCGGGGAGGCCGCAGGGAGGGCGGCGGGGCUGCGCGCCCAGGACCCCCGCCUCCCCCGGUGCGGCCCGGGCUGCGGCGACGCGUCGUGGCCUGGACGAGGGGCGCCGGGGCCAGCGCUGCGGCUGUCGGUCCGGGGGUCCUCCUGCGAGGUCCUCCUGCGGGGUCCUGCGGGAUGCAGGGGCCGAGCUGGCGGCGGGCGCGGGACUGCGGGGCGGGCCUGGGCGCAGGAGUUCCCAACUGCGACAGGCUCUGCCUCCCCGUGUGGACGGACCCGACGCCGAGUUUGCAGAACGCCCCUCCGAGGAGCGGGAAGUUGCGGAGAGCCGGGGACCGCGCGGCGCGGGGCGGGCAGCCGGCAGCAUCCCCCGGGCGGGGCUGUCUGGAGAAAGGCGACGCCGGGGAGCGAGGGCAAGGGGCUUCGCUUUUCCGUGUGAGGGGAAACGGAAAGAAAGGGGCUGCGGGUCGGGGUGGGGCAGCAGGGAGCAGCCCCCUCGGAGCAGAGGACCCUUUAACCCGGGACCUGCGGUGGAGACGGCAGGGGCACACCCUCGGCCAGCAAAGCCCGCAGACUCGGGGUUGUAACCUGGGAAGAAGCCUUAGGAUGACCCUGCCGGCCAAGGUCCUGUGACAGAGAAGGCAAAGACGGCUCCGAGGGUGAGCACAGAGGCAGCACCGGAGCUGGAACUCAGCUCGCUGCCCGCAGCCGGCGCCUCUCCCUUCACCGAGUUUGCAGUCGCGAGGAGAGAAAACGGAUCCCCAGUGAGCUGGCUACAACGGAAGAGAAUUCUUCAUUGAGCCAGGGGGCUGUGCUGGGAUCUGACACGGGAGCUGCAGGCAGUGCCCAGAGAGGGCAAGACUGGGGAGCAGAGCCCAGUAUCACCCGGAGAAGCUGGGUGUUAGCAUUAUGAGACCCAGUCCUAGGUGCAAAUUGAUACUGAGGACUGAAUACGUAUUUUUCAAACGCAAAUUACAAACCAACAUGCGUGUAAUACUAACGAUGGUCUGGUUCUAACUGCGUGCCAGAUGUUAUUCUCUAGGCUUUAUAUAAAUUUAUUUCUCCUGGCAUCUUAAUAAAGUAGGAACUAUUAUCAUUUCCUUUUACAGAUAAGGAAACUGAGGCAUACAGAGAUUAACUGUUGCAAGGCUGCAAAUUUAGUCAAUGAUGAAGCUAACAUUUCAGACCCAAGUGUUUUGGCUCCAGUCCUGGUCUCAGUCACCGUGUUCG